rnacentral:tRNA from 1 species
CGCCUACCGGGUGCUGCAGGAGGCCCUCGUCGAGGCGUACGACGGGGCCGAGGUCGCCUUCAGCGGCCAGGGCGGCUCCAUUCCGCUGUGCACGC